UCAGAUCAGCUUCCAAAGUUUGAUUGACAAAAAGUGGUGCUACAGUAUGAACAUAGGGGUCAAAAGUAUGAACAAAAUGUUUGGCUGCCUUUGUUAGUUGAUCCGCUACCAUAUUUUACUCUUCGUAUGCAUGCUGGACAGACGAAUUAUUGAGCUGAUUAAGGAGGCACCUGUAGUCAUUUCACAUAUUGGCAAGUGGAAGGUUGUCAGUUUGCAAUAAUAUAAUAAUUUGUUUAGCAUCUAACUCAACUUCUAUAGGCAUCAAAUUAUGUUGUAAGACCAAGGUAAGUC
rnacentral:lncRNA from 1 species